GACGAACGCUGGCGGCGUGCUUAACACAUGCAAGUCGAUCGAAGAGCGAUGGAAGCUUGCUUCUAUCAAUCUUAGUGGCGAACGGGUGAGUAACGCGUAAUCAACCUGCCCUUCAGAGGGGGACAACAGUUGGAAACGACUGCUAAUACCGCAUACGAUCUAAUCUCGGCAUCGAGGAUAGAUGAAAGGUGGCCUCUACAUGUAAGCUAUCACUGAAGGAGGGGAUUGCGUCUGAUUAGCUAGUUGGAGGGGUAACGGCCCACCAAGGCGAUGAUCAGUAGCCGGUCUGAGAGGAUGAACGGCCACAUUGGGACUGAGACACGGCCCAGACUCCUACGGGAGGCAGCAGUGGGGAAUCUUCCGCAAUGGACGAAAGUCUGACGGAGCAACGCCGCGUGAGCGAUGACGGCCUUCGGGUUGUAAAGCUCUGUUAAUCGGGACGAAAGGCCUUCUUGCGAAUAGUGAGAAGGAUUGACGGUACCGGAAUAGAAAGCCACGGCUAACUACGUG
rnacentral:rRNA from 1 species